rnacentral:rRNA from 1 species
GGCUCAGAAUGAACGCUGGCGGCGCGCCUAAUACAUGCAAGUCGAGCGAGAAGACGUAGCAAUACGUUUGUAAAGCGGCGAACGGGUGAGGAAUACAUGGGUAACCUACCCUAGAGUGGGGAAUAACUAGCCGAAAGGUUAGCUAAUACCGCGUACGCUUCUUGGACUUCGGUUCAGGGAGGAAAGCGCUACCGAGGGUAGCGCGCUCUUGGAUGGGCUCAUGUCCUAUCAGCUUGUUGGUGAGGUAAUGGCUCACCAAGGCUUCGACGGGUAGCUGGUCUGAGAGGACGAUCAGCCACACUGGCACUGCGACACGGGCCAGACUCCUACGGGGGGCAGCAGUAAGGAAUAUUGCGCAAUGGGCGAAAGCCUGACGCAGCGACGCCGCGUGGGGGAUGAAGGUCUUCGGAUUGUAAACCCCUUUCGGGAGGGAAGAUGGAAUGGGUAACCAUUCGGACGGUACCUCCAGAAGCAGCCACGGCUAACUUCGUGCCAGCAGCCGCGGUAAUACGAAGGUGGCAAGCGUUAUUCGGAUUUACUGGGCGUACAGGGAGCGUAGGCGGUUUGGUAAGCCCUCUGUGAAAUCUCCAGGCUUAACCUGGAAAAGUCGGAGGGGACUGCUGGGCUAGAGGACGGGAGAGGAGCGCGGAAUUCCCGGUGUAGCGGUGAAAUGCGUAGAGA